rnacentral:misc_RNA from 1 species
GCUGGGGAUCCGUCACCCUGGUCGCAUUUGGCAGCACACUGGGUGGUCUGUUCGGCCUGGGAGGAGUUGGGGUGGGCAACACCAACGCAGGCAGCCUGGCAGUUCACGUCGCCAGCCGGGCAAGCAACCGCGCAGGAUUGCUGGUGGGGUGUAAGAGAAACGCUAGCGGCGCUGGGAGCAGCAGUGACAGUGCUAGCACCCUGAGGGAUGGCGUAGGCAGCCGAGAGGAGAGUGGCGAAGACAACAGCGGAGUACUUCAUUUUUGCUGAUGGUAUGAUUUUUUUUAAAGGGGUUCGGAAUAUAUCGAACGGCGAUGCGGAGGUUCAGAAAUUAGUGAUGAAAAUAAGACGAAGCGAGUGUGUGAAAUAUUAGAAGAUAGUAGUAAUAAGUGGUACAAGCGAGUGACCAGAAGAACGGUUGAAAGUGG